CCUACGGGAGGCAGCAGUGGGGAAUAUUGCACAAUGGGGGAAACCCUGAUGCAGCGACGCCGCGUGAGUGAAGAAGUAAUUCGUUAUGUAAAGCUCGAUCAGCAGGGAAGAAAAUGACGGUACCUGAGUAAGAAGCCCCGGCUAACGACGUGCCAGCAGCCGCGGUAUUACGUAGGGGGCAAGCGUUAGCCGGAUUUACUGGGUGUAAAGGGGGCGUAGACGGCAGUUCAAGUCUGGAGUGAAAGGCGCGGGCUCAACCCCCGGACUGAUCUUGAAACUGUGCGGCUGGAGUGCAGGAGAGGUAAGUGGAAUUCCUAGUGUAGCGGUGAAAUGCGUAGAUAUUAGGAGGAACACCAGUGGCGAAGGCGGCUUUCUGGCCUGUAACUGACGUUGAGGCUCGAAAGCGUGGGGAGCAAACAGGAUUAGAUACCCUAGUAGUC
rnacentral:rRNA from 1 species